CGGCCGCGUCGACGGGGAGUCGAUAACCAGACUUUGAUCCGAGGAUUUCCGAAUGGGGAAACCCGGCUGGAGGCAAGUCCAGUCACUCCUGUCUGAAUAUAUAGGGGCAGGUAGAGGGAACGCGGGGAAGUGAAACAUCUCAGUACCCGCAGGAAGAGAAAACAAUAGUGAUUCCGUGAGUAGUGGCGAGCGAAAGCGGAUGAGGCCAAACCGGGUCUGUGUGAUAGCUGUCAGGCGUUGCAGGUUCGGGGUUGUGGGGCUUUCUGUUCCAGGACUGACAUUCUGGGCUGGAGUAAGAAAUUCAUGUCAUAGUCGAAGAGUCUUGAAUGGCUCGGCAUAGAGGGUGCGACCCCCGUAGACGAAAUGGUGUGGACUCCAGAUGAUUGUUCCCAAGUAGCACGGGGCCCGUGAAAUCUCGUGUGAAUCUGGCGGGACCACCCGCUAAGCCUAAAUAUUCCCUGGUGACCGAUAGCGGGUCGACGCGGCCG
rnacentral:rRNA from 1 species